UGAGGCUACUGCCAGGAAAAAACAAAUCACCCUCAAGAACAGGCAGAUGCCUGUGCAACCACUUUCAACAGAGCCUUUGCGGAAGUUCAGUGCUUGCUGGUCACAGGGUCUUGCUAUGGAGUUUAGUUUGGCCUUUAACUUGCUGUGUGUCCCAGACUGGCCAGAACACAUGGCACUCCUUAGCCUCCCAAGUAUGUGAUGUCACCUGUUGUGCUGUGACAUAGCAGCGGACUUCAGCAGAGUUCAAGCAGAUUGUGGAAUAAAUUCAAUCACUCCAGGGAAAAAUUAUAAUCUUAUAUACAUUUGAGCUCAUUGGAGCACGGGAAGACAUAUACACAUACUCAAAUAGAUGGAGCUAACAGGAUACUGCCCUUUGAUGUGCAAGCUAGCCUAACAUUUAAGCUUCAAGUAUGGCACCUGAGGUCUUUGGUGGACAGAAGAGUUUCGCUUUGCCUUAUUGUCCUCUCAUGUGACACAAGCAUAAAAUGACCAGUGUUCAAAAAGAAGACAUAACUCAAAUAUGAGUAUGAGCAGCACACCAGUGUGACCUACCAGAAACUUAUCUGAAGUGUGGAAUACUUCCUAAGAUGAAGUGUGAUUAUUUUACAUAGGGACGGCUUGAUCUUAUUGAAAAAUCAAUCUUAUUGGUUUAGGAUAUGUAGCAUACUGUAUAUGUUUCUGCCUGGCAGAAUAUCAACUAGGUACUUGGUAAAUAUGUAUUGACAAAAUUUCUGUGGCUUGCAUCUUUUUGGGACGCUAACGAUAUUUACCUUCAGAGCAUGCAACGAGUUCAUCAUCUCUUACUGAUGUAUUGACUCAUUAUGUCACAUAAUAAAUAUGAUUUAUUUUUAAGGAGAAAAAUAGAAAGUCAUGAAAUGUUAUUUUGGAAAGAUGCUAGAAUUCCUUAAAUCAAAAGCCCCAUCUCAGUAGGAGGUAUUAUAUUAUCUUAAUAGAGGGUAUACUGUUUUUAUAUUGUGGUCAAGAGGGAAGAGAGGCAAACAUAAUUGCAGUACGUGAAUCAUCUUCUUGCCAUUAGUAUUGGACACUCUCAUUGCCCUUUUUGCUAUAUUGUGUGGAAGAAAUAAGGACACUAUUGCUUUCAGAAGAAUUGCUUCUGCUCUGAAGCCUUAGCCCUAGGGAAGGGCUUAUCAGAAUUUAUCAUUUCCUGAUUUCUGAGGGAAACCCCACAGCAGGCCACCAUGUCCCUGAACUCAGUGAUAAUUUCAAAUAAAGCAACUGAACCCUAGAGUUUCAGGAGCAGUAGAAAAAGCUGCUGGCUGCUUGUCAAUGUCGAAGUCUGGUAUGCUGUAGCUAUUCUUUGCAGGACAUUUUUAUGGGAGUAAACUGAUCCACAGGCAUCAGGGAGAAAGGUCAGUUUGUGGGAGUGAAGAUUUCCCAUUCAUCACAUUCUAGCCUUGCUAGUGAUUUUAUUCUUGGAUAUCAAACUAGUCAUUCUGGUCUUGUUAAUGCUUUUCCUCAACUGAUGUAUUUUUUUCUGACAUAAACAAGAGAAAGCUGCAUAUAUUAGAUAUAAUGGUUUUCUGUUUCAGCUAUUUCAGACAGAGAUCACUGAUACAAGGAUUAGCAAAGAAAGGAUAGUUAUUAAUUGACUUGAGCUGGUCUGGCUUCUACACUAAACACUCCUCCAUUUUCUUCUCUUCCUAUUUACAUCUAUCUCUACCCCCAUCAAUUUCAAGAAUCUGAGAUGAUCUAUCAAGUCAGCAGACCUGGAUGUCUUCAGGGACAUAGCCCUGGGAAAAAGGUAUUUUGGAAAAUAUAUUAAAUGACUUAACAGCUGACAGAGGCAAAACAACCACUUCUCAGGCCCCAGAUUUAGCCUUCUUUAGUUAAGAAACCUUAAGUAAAUACAUACAAUCAAAAAUAUUUAUAAUUUGCAGGUAGAUUGAUUCAGGCUAUAGGGUGUAGACAUAGAUGAUCUAUUUAUGCAGUAUAUAAUAUAAAGCUAUAUAUAUAUGUAAUCCUGUAUGAUAUUAUAUAUAUAUAUAUAUAUAUAUAUAUAUAUAUAUAUACCUUUCUUUUUCUGUCAUUCAUAGUUCCAAUGACAAUCUAUACAAA